rnacentral:rRNA from 1 species
GAUGAACGCUAGCGGCAGGCCUAACACAUGCAAGUCGAGGGGCAGCACAGAAACAGCAAUGUUUUGGUGGCGACCGGCGGACGGGUGCGUAACGCGUAUGCAACCUACCUUUAACAGGGGGAUAACGGAGAGAAAUUUCCACUAAUACCCCAUAACAUCGAUCAAGGCAUCUUGAUUGGUUGAAAACUCCGGUGGUUAAAGAUGGGCAUGCGUUGUAUUAGGUAGUGGGUGAGGUAAUGGCUCACCAAGACUACGAUACAUAGGGGGACUGAGAGGUUAGCCCCCCACACGGGUACGGAGACACGGACCAGACUCCUACGGGAGGCAGCAGUGAGGAAUAUUGGUCAAUGGGGGCAACCCUGAACCAGCCAUGCCGCGUGCAGGAAGACGGCUCUAUGAGUUGUAAACUGCUUUUAAACAGGGAUAAAGCACAGUAUGUAUACUGUGUUGAAGGUACUGUAAGAAUAAGGAUCGGCUAACUCCGUGCCAGCAGCCGCCGUAA